GAUCGUGCCUAGGGCACGAUCGUGGAAGAAGAGGGUAAAGGGAGGGGGGACGGCGGCGGCGGCUUGGAGAGGCGACUCGCCGGAGAGAAGACGAGCGCCGGAGAGGGGAUCCGGCCGGCCGCGCUUCGGUGAAGACUCCUCACAAACCAAGUGAAGAGCUCUCGGAUCCGUGUUUUUCAACCGAGCUCGCCACGGAUUUCUUCCUCCGAUUCCUCGCCGGAAAGGCCGCCGGAGCACUCAUUGGACUGAGAGGAAGAGUCGGCAGAGCCAGGAGAUUUUGAUCAGGGGACUCAGCACCCCAGCUCGUAGUUGUGAUCCGGAUCUGUAAUUGUGACAGUCUACAAUCUCUAGGCACUGGAUUCGUAGAAUCUGUCGGAUGGGACAA